ensembl:lncRNA
AGGUGACGUUUCAAGCCUAAAAGCUCUUCAUCAGAGCUUCUUCAUAUUUUUCUACUUUUGGAGCUGUGGUGUGCCAACUUUGAUUUUCAUUCAGAAGAAAAAAAGAUAAUUUCAUCAGCAAUUCCUUGUAGAUGUACAGUUCGNAUAUAUACAUUUUGUGCUAUGGCAAAUAAUUUAUUUAUAUUAAUAACGCAACAAUAAAUGCACCUUGUUCUUAAGGGUGCAGAUAUUUAAAUUAAGAGAUACUUUUGCUGUUGUCGUUCUCACAGCUGAUACCGAUACUUACAUAAGAAACCUAUCCCAAGUUCUCACGAAGAACAGAACUGUUACACGCCAUAGGGCUAAACAAAAAUGGAUAUCAACAAACGUGACGUGGACGGGGAUUCUCAUAUGGUCACGUAGUUUAUUACGUCACUCUUAACGCAGUGUAUGUAAAGAUUAGGAGAAGUGCGUUCGGUGCGCAGUCAGACGGAGACAUCCACACUGCUGAAACCCCGGAACAUUAAACCCCGUCAACUCUCCACGAUCUGAAAUGGCGAAGAAAGAGCAAGCCGCAGUUGUCGAGUGCGCGCGGCAGUUGCGCAGAGUUGGAGAUCUGCUAAACUGGAAAUACAUGUUGUUGGAGUUCAUAAUAACACUCCAGAAGCAAGAGACGGACGGCAAAAGGUGAAAAGGCACCAUUUGGGAAGGAAUCUGAGAAUACUGAACCAACGUGGACCCAAAACCUGAAGAGGAUUCAUAUUCGAAGACGAGGUGCAUCGUUUUCCAGGAACAACAAAACAGGACUUGAACUUGUUGAACAGGACUACGGCCUUCCCAGGUGAAGACAUGGAUACGAUGGCCCUUGUGGAUCAUUUCUGCGCCCCUCUGAGCCAUAUUUAUCUCUGGACGGUUUCUCUGCGGGGGUUGAAUUGUUUGUCGGAGGAGUUUUCAUUCAUGAAGUCGAAUGGCAGGAUGCGUUAAAGUUGGACAUUCGUUCUUUUCUUCGGCAUUAAUUUAUAUCUAAUCGCGUAAUAGCCAUGGAUCAUGCUGUAUCUUGUUCAGAUCACAGUUAAAAGCAUAAUAUAAAAAUGACAAAUAAUAUUAUUCGAUGGUGUUAUUGUUUUAAGCAUUGGAAUUGAAUUAGAAGUUAUUUGAAAUAGAAUUUGGGCACGUCAAGUUAAGGAGAGUCUCAUAAGUUUAAAAUCCACAAUGAACUUGGUUAAAUAUGUGAAUUAUUCCAUAAAAAAACAUGAUCCUUUUACAUGUGUAAUUUAUUUUAGCUAAUAGACUAAAUAUAGAUUAAGACAAUGUUUUACUUUUGUAUGAUUAAUAUAUCUGUAAUAAAUCUGUAAACUGAAUGUCGUAAUGAAAUUAA